AGGGUUUGAUCCUGGCUCAGGAUGAACGCUGGCGGCGUGCCUAAUACAUGCAAGUCGAGCGGCAGCGCGAGUAGUUUACUACUUGGCGGCGAGCGGCGGACGGCUGAGUAACGCGUAGGAACGUACCCCAAACUGAGGGAUAAGCACCAGAAAUGGUGUCUAAUACCGCAUGUGCUCUAAGGAGUAAAGCUUCGGCGGUUUGGGAACGGCCUGCGUCCGAUUAGCUUGUUGGUGAGGUAAAAGCUCACCAAGGCGACGAUCGGUAGCUGGUCUGAGAGGAUGAUCAGCCAGACUGGGACUGAGACACGGCCCAGACUCCUACGGGAGGCAGCAGUAGGGAAUUUUCCACAAUGGGCGAAAGCCUGAUGGAGCAACGCCGCGUGCAGGAUGAAUGCCUUCGGGUUGUAAACUGCUUUUAUAUGUGACGAUUAUGACGGUAGCAUAUGAAUAAGGAUCGGCUAACUCCGUGCCAGCAGCCGCGGUCAUACGGAGGAUCCAAGCGUUAUCCGGAAUUACUGGGCGUAAAGAGUUGCGUAGGUGGCAUAGUAAGUAGAUAGUGAAAGCGUUCGGCUCAACCGAAUAUCCAUUAUCUAAACUGCUAAGCUAGAGGAUGAGAGAGGUUAUUGGAAUUCCCUGUGUAGGAGUGAAAUCCGUAGAUAUAGGGAGGAACACCGAUGGCGUAGGCAGAUAACUGGCUCAUUCCUGACACUAAGGCACGAAAGCGUGGGGAGCAAACGGGAUUAGAUACCCCGGUAGUCCACGCCGUAAACUAUGGAUGCUAGCUGUUAGAAGUAUCGACCCUUCUAGUAGCGAAGCUAACGCGUUAAGCAUCCCGCCUGUGGAGUACGGUCG
rnacentral:rRNA from 1 species